rnacentral:pre_miRNA from 1 species
GUAGUACUCCGUCCGUCCGGAAAUACUUGUUAUCAAAAUGAAUAAAAGGGGAUGUAUCUAAAUGUAUAUUAGUUCUAGAUACAUCUUUUUUAUCCAUUUUGAUGACAAGUAUUUUUGGACGGAGGGAGUACUUG